CUGAAACUACGCCUGUAUGAAGUCGGAAUUGCUAGUAAUCGCGGAUCAGCAUGCCGCGGUGAAUACGUUCCCGGGCCUUGUACACACCGCCCGUCACACCAUGAGAGUUGGCAACACCCGAAGUCAGUAGCCUAACCGCAAGGGGGGCGCUGCCGAAGGUGGGGUUGAUGAUUGGGGUGAAGUCGUAACAAGGUACC
rnacentral:rRNA from 1 species